AUUGAACGCUGGCGGCAGGCCUAACACAUGCAAGUCGAGCGGAGUGGCGGACGGGUGAGUAAUGCCUAGGAAUCUGCCUGGUAGUGGGGGAUAACGUCCGGAAGCGGGCGCUAAUACAGCAUACUAUCAGCUGAGCCUAGGUCGGAUUAGCGCGUUGGUGGGGUAAAGGCCUAUCAAGACGACGAUCCGUAACUGGUCUGAGAGGAUGAUCAGUCACCCUGGAACUGAGACACGGCCCAGACUCCUACGGGAGGCAGCAGUGGGGAAUCUUGUACAAUGGGCGAAAGCCUGAUCCAGCCAUGCCGCGUGUGUGAAGAAGGUCUUCGGAUUGUAAAGCACUUUAAGUUGGGAGGCGUUACCAACAGAAUAAGCCCCGGCUAACUACGUGCCAGCAGCCGCGGUAAUAC
rnacentral:rRNA from 1 species